rnacentral:rRNA from 1 species
GGCCUACCAUGGUGGUAACGGGUAACGGGGAAUUAGGGUUCGAUUCCGGAGAGGGAGCCUGAGAAACGGCUACCACAUCCAAGGAAGGCAGCAGGCGCGCAAAUUACCCAAUCCCGACACGGGGAGGUAGUGACAAUAAAUAACAACACAGGGCUCUUUCGGGUCUUGUUAUUGGAAUGAGUACGAUUUAAAUCCCCUAACGAGGAACAAUUGGAGGGCAAGUCUGGUGCCAGCAGCCGCGGUAAUUCCAGCUCCAAUAGCGUAUAUUAAAGUUGUUGCAGUUAAAAAGCUCGUAGUUGAAUUUCAGGCCUGGCUGGGCGGUCCGCCCUUCGGGUGAGUACUGCCUGUGGUCGGGUCCUACCUUCUGGCGAAGCGUCAUGGCCUUAACCGGCCGUGGCGGGGAACCAGGACUUUUACUGUGAAAAAAUUAGAGUGUUCAAAGCAGGCAAUCGCUUGGAAUCCCAUUAGCAUGGAAUAAUGGAAUAGGACAAUGGUUCUAUUUGUUGGUUUCUAGGACCGUUGUAAUGAUUAAUAGGGAUAGUUGGGGGCAUUAGUAUUCAAUUGUCAAAGGUGAAAUUCUUGGAUUUAUUGAAAGACUAACUACUGCGAAAGCAUUUGCCAAGGAUGUUUCCUCUUUAAUCAAGAACCAAAGUUAGGGGACGAAGACGAUCAGAUACCGUCGUAGUUUAACCAUAAACUAUGCCGACUAAGAAUCGGGCGAUGUUGACAAAAUGACGCGCUCGGCACCUCAUGGGAAACCAAAGUGUUUGGGUU